GGUUCAAUUCUCCAAAUUCUGCUUCCUUUUAGGUUUUCUGCUUUUCCAUCCAUCAAUCCAUGGAAGUGAGACUAACUUCCCUCCCCAGGGUUCUGGGGAGAAUUCAUGGAAAUAUUUAAAAUCCGUUAUGGGGAUCAAGCUGAGCAGGAGAGCUGGCUCUCCCAGAAAGGUCCCUACAAAGAGAUGGAAAUCAGAGAGUCAGAAACCGAGGCUCAGGACUCAGGGCCUGAAGCCUCUCUGUUGGAAAGCCCUGGGGUGAGAUACCAACCGGCUGUCCCCGGGGCCCCGCCAGACCCUGAGGGACAGAAACACCCACAGGUGAGUGGAACAAAGAAGACAUGCAGAACCAGUCAUGCAGGCCUGCAUGGGAUCGUGCAAGAAACUUUUGGAAGGCCUGAGUCCCGAAGGCCAGGCUUAGCCACCCAUGUCUGGUCUUCCUGUGCCCGAGACAGUCCAGCUAUUGUGGCCCAGCAUCUUCAUCCAACGGCAGACAUGACUAGGUGUGCCCUGCUCCCCGCACUUGACUAUGAUGAAGAGCAGGUAUCAUCUUUCAUUUAUCCCUGCACCUGCCAGCAUCUUGUGGGCUGGCCACAGCGGAGGCUGCAUGGACGUGCGGGACAGGGCUCUGCUACUGCCAGGCGCCCUGCACUCUCAGGCCAUUUCCUCUCAGAACCGAAAGCACAUUCUAACUCCUACCGUCCACAGCCUCAGCAUUAA
rnacentral:lncRNA from 1 species